rnacentral:sRNA from 1 species
AGAUUCCUGAAGUGUUCGUUUAGGUGAUAUAAUUCAACCUACAAAUCAUUCACGGGACGUCGAGUUUUCUUAGCGGAUGUCGGGCCUCCGUAGUAGUGGAUGGCAGAAGCGGAAACAGAUAACCCACCUAUCGAGAGAUAGGGCGUGAAUUAUAAGCCUGACGGCACAUUCGGGGCUUCU